rnacentral:rRNA from 1 species
GCCUACCAUGGUGGUAACGGGUAACGGGGAAUUAGGGUUCGAUUCCGGAGAGGGAGCCUGAGAAACGGCUACCACAUCCAAGGAAGGCAGCAGGCGCGCAAAUUACCCAAUCCCGACACGGGGAGGUAGUGACAAUAAAUAACAAUACGGGGCUCUUUCGGGUCUCGUAAUUGGAAUGAGUACAAUUUAAAUCCCUUAACGAGGAACAAUUGGAGGGCAAGUCUGGUGCCAGCAGCCGCGGUAAUUCCAGCUCCAAUAGCGUAUAUUAAAGUUGUUGCAGUUAAAAAGCUCGUAGUUGAAUUUCGGGAUUGACACAUCGGUCGUGCCUUAAGGGGUAUGAACUGGUGUAGUCAAUUUCUCACCUUCUGGAGAACCGCGAUGCCCUUAAUUGGGUGUCGCGGGGAACCAGGACCUUUACUUUGAAAAAAUUAGAGUGUUUAAAGCAGGCAUUUUGCUUGAAUACAUUAGCAUGGAAUAAUAAAAUAGGACGGCAUGAUUCUAUUUUGUUGGUUUCUAGGAUCACCGUAAUGAUUAAUAGGGAUAGUUGGGGGCAUUAGUAUUCAAUUGUCAGAGGUGAAAUUCUUGGAUUUAUUGAAGACUAACUACUGCGAAAGCAUUUGCCAAGGAUGUUUUCAUUAAUCAAGAACGAAAGUUAGGGGAUCGAAGACGAUCAGAUACCGUCGUAGUCUUAACCAUAGACUAUGCCGACUAGGAAUCAGACGGUGUUAAUUUUUUAAUGACUCGUUUGGCACCUUACG